GACGAACGCUGGCGGCGUGCUUAACACAUGCAAGUCGAACGGAAAGGCCUCUUUCGGGGGGUACUCGAGUGGCGAACGGGUGAGUAACACGUGAGUAACCUGCCCUUGUCUUUGGGAUAACUUCAGGAAACAGGGGCUAAUACCGGAUAGGAGCUCCUGCUGCACGGGGGGGGGUGGAAAGAUUCGGCGUUUGGGGAUGGACUCGCGGCUUAUCAGCUUGUUGGUGGGGGAGUGGUUUACCAAGGCGUUGACGGGUAGCCGGCCCGGGAGGGUGACCGGCCACAUUGGGACUGAGAUACGGCCCAGACUCCUACGGGGGGCAACAGGGGGGAAUAUUGCACAAUGGGUGGGAGCCUGAUGCAGCAACGCCGUGUGCGGGAUGACGGCCUUCGGGUUGUAAACCGCUUUCGCUCAUGACGGAGCUUUGUGUGACGGUAGUGGGUAAAGAAGCACCGGCUAACUACGUG
rnacentral:rRNA from 1 species